ACCGUCCGAGGAUUAACCGGAAAAUCGAGAACCAUGAAAUUACAGUAUUACCCCCACGCCCGACGCUUCCCGGGCACGGCGGCGCUCUCGCCUUCGGUAAGUAGUUUGCUUUCUCGUUGCUCGUUCGAAUCUCCACGAGCACGCCCGGACCGUACGGAUUUCCAGAUUCUCCGGCCGCCGUAGUCAGCCCGACGGCGACAUGCUGGACGACGUCCGUCGCCGACGCGUCUCAUGUCGCCGGAAGAAGGACGCGCGUAUUUGCAGGAUGGCGGCAUGUGCAAGUGGUAGUCCAACUCUAAUUAUUAAUGAUAAGCUAGAGAUGAAGGCAUGAUACUCAACCAAUGAUUGAGAAAAGGAGAUGCCCAUGCUCCUGGUUUAUCUAGCAAAUGGGCAUAGCCAUGCCAAAACUCUAUGGAUAAGAGCCAUUUAGCAUGCUUCAGACGCUCCACCUUCAUACUACUUUUAAUCUCAUGCCAUGUUUUGACUCGACCAGUGAAAUUGCUCACUGACAAGGGGACCUUUGCGGUAGCUCCGUGCCCUAGCAAUGUGUGAUGAACAGGAUACAUUCCCUAACAUAUCAGCAUUGGCUCAACAAUGGAGAUGAACUUCAUCUUGAUAUCUCCACAGAUUCUCCUUCUGCAGUAGGGCUGUAUGAGUUAUUUGGCUCGCAUGUCCUCUGUGGAAGCUCAGGUUCUGCAUUACAUUUCCUCCUGCAUUUUGAAUGUUGACAUUCUAUAAUCUAUUGGUGCUUAAACAUGGAAAUUAUUAAAGUCACGUAUUAAGCUAUUACUGUAUGUACACUCAUGUAAAGCCAAAGUCAUCUUAAAACAAUGCUAUGUACAUGUGAAUUGAAAAGCUACAAACCAUAGAAAUUCAAAAUGGAAUGAAAUGAAUUUAUAGAUGUCGAUGCUGGAGAGGACAUCAAAUUGACUGUUCUAUGGUUACAUGCAUGAUACAAGGACAUGUAAGACUUCUUUUAAGUUGGUUAAUGCUAGCAUGUGUUAGAACGAAUGAUGAUAUAGUGUGAAAGCCUGACAAGCAGAACUCGAAGUAUUGCAGAUGUUGAGAUUCGAAGAAAAUCGUGUGAGAGUUGGAGGAGAGAUCACGGUCAAUGAGAUGACAUUUCAAGUACUUGUAUGCUCUAAUAAAUGAUCAAGCCAAGCCAAGGAGACGCCCUGUCUAGUUCCUUUAUUAGAGGCCUAGAACAGCCAGAAAUUUCUAAUUGUGGCUAUGUGAGGGAUCCAAAGGAAAUCCUGAUAGUGAUAAAAGGCAUAUGUUUCUAUUCAAAGGAUGGCAAAGGCUAUUGGGUUUUCUCUGAAAAUUUUCUUAGAUAUUACAGGGACCAGAGAGAGAUCUUGAUGGUGAAAACCACAGUGCUUCAAUUUUUGGGACUGAUAAUGGUGGUAGAGGCUGUACUGACAUCAUUGGAUAUUUUGCAGGGCCAGCAAGGAACAUAAAUAUGAAGUUUACUGGCAACGUUUUGGAGAGUGUGAAUAUCAGUCCAGUUUGAUAUCUUGGUUCCCUUCUUUGUUUUCCUUUCAAUCACAGGAAUGAUGUAUGGGACUAUUGAAACCUCUCUUUCGCUGACAGAGCAGACUUCUAACAUUCUGGUGGAAAUUAUUCUUUUUUUAAUUUUGCACCAGCGAUCAAGGACCAGAAAUGUAACAGAGGUCAAAGCUGGCUUGGCAUGCUUACCGUGAAUCAAAAGGUUGGAAUCAUGUAUAGCUUUAGUUUACCGCUGUGAUGACAUGACGGACCAAACUAUGUAUGAAAAAGUCAUAUCAACUUUACAGAGGGUCUCACAGAAAAUUGACCAGACUGUUAUGGUUUCUGCAUCAUGCUUAGUUUGUAGGAGAUGUCAUGCGGGUAUUUUUAGCACCAAUGAUUUUGUUAUUAUAAUGUCUGAGGUUAUGAUUCUUUUGAAUGAACCUAUGUAAAGUUCAUUGAUUUCCUCAAAC